rnacentral:rRNA from 1 species
AUUGAACGCUGGCGGCAUGCCUUACACAUGCAAGUCGAACGGUAACGGGCCUUCGGGUGCCGACGAGUGGCGAACGGGUGAGUAAUACAUCGGAACGUGCCCGAUCGUGGGGGAUAACGAGGCGAAAGCUUUGCUAAUACCGCAUACGAUCUACGGAUGAAAGCAGGGGACCGCAAGGCCUUGCGCGGACGGGCGGCCGAUGGCAGAUUAAGCAGUUGGUGGGAUAAAAGCUUACCAAGCCGACGAUCUGUAGCUGGUCUGAGAGGAUGAUCAGCCACACUGGGACUGAGACACGGCCCAGACUCCUACGGGAGGCAGCAGUGGGGAAUUUUGGACAAUGGGCGCAAGCCUGAUCCAGCCAUGCCGCGUGCAGGAUGAAGGCCUUCGGGUUGUAAACUGCUUUUGUACGGAACGAAAAGCCUUCUUUUAAUACAGGAGGGUCAUGACGGUACCGUAAGAAUAAGCACCGGCUAACUACGUG